rnacentral:rRNA from 1 species
CCUGACUGACCGAUAGUGAACCAGUACCGUGAGGGAAAGGCGAAAAGAACCCCGGCGAGGGGAGUGAAAAAGAACCUGAAACCGUGUACGUACAAGCAGUGGGAGCCUCUUUUAUGGGGUGACUGCGUACCUUUUGUAUAAUGGGUCAGCGACUUAUAUUCUGUAGCAAGGUUAACCGAAUAGGGGAGCCGAAGGGAAACCGAGUCUUAACUGGGCGUUAAGUUGCAGGGUAUAGACCCGAAACCCGGUGAUCUAGCCAUGGGCAGGUUGAAGGUUGGGUAACACUAACUGGAGGACCGAACCGACUAAUGUUGAAAAAUUAGCGGAUGACUUGUGGCUGGGGGUGAAAGGCCAAUCAAACCGGGAGAUAGCUGGUUCUCCCCGAAAGCUAUUUAGGUAGCGCCUCGUGAAUUCAUCUCCGGGGGUAGAGCACUGUUUCGGCAAGGGGGUCAUCCCGACUUACCAACCCGAUGCAAACUGCGAAUACCGGAGAAUGUUAUCACGGGAGACACACGGCGGGUGCUAACGUCCGUCGUGAAGAGGGAAACAACCCAGACCGCCAGCUAAGGUCCCAAAGUCAUGGUUAAGUGGGAAACGAUGUGGGAAGGCCCAGACAGCCAGGAUGUUGGCUUAGAAGCAGCCAUCAUUUAAAGAAAGCGUAAUAGCUCACUGGUCGAGUCGGCCUGCGCGGAAGAUGUAACGGGGCUAAA